AAGGAUUUAAGUUAAAUAAACUCAGAACCUUCAAAGUUCUAAAUAAGCCCCCCCCCCGUUUAAGCCUUG
rnacentral:tRNA from 1 species